rnacentral:rRNA from 1 species
GGUCAAGCGAAUAAGCG